rnacentral:rRNA from 1 species
GGGUUGUGAGGUUAAGCGACUAAGCGUACACGGUGGAUGCCCUGGCAGUCAGAGGCGAUGAAGGACGUGCUAAUCUGCGAUAAGCGUCGGUAAGGUGAUAUGAACCGUUAUAACCGGCGAUUUCCGAAUGGGGAAACCCAGUGUGUUUCGACACACUAUCAUUAACUGAAUCCAUAGGUUAAUGAGGCGAACCGGGGGAACUGAAACAUCUAAGUACCCCGAGGAAAAGAAAUCAACCGAGAUUCCCCCAGUAGCGGCGAGCGAACGGGGAGGAGCCCAGAGCCUGAAUCAGUGUGUGUGUUAGUGGAAGCGUCUGGAAAGGCGCGCGAUACAGGGUGACAGCCCCGUACACAAAAAUGCACAUGCUGUGAGCUCGAUGAGUAGGGCGGGACACGUGGUAUCCUGUCUGAAUAUGGGGGGACCAUCCUCCAAGGCUAAAUACUCCUGACUGACCGAUAGUGAACCAGUACCGUGAGGGAAAGGCGAAAAGAACCCCGGCGAGGGAGUGAAAAGAACCUGAAACCGUGUACGUACAAGCAGUGGGAGCCUCUUAAUGGGGUGACUGCGUACCUUUUGUAUAAUGGGUCAGCGACUUAUAUUCUGUAGCAAGGUUAACCGAAUAGGGGAGCCGAAGGGAAACCGAGUCUUAACUGGGCGUUAAGUUGCAGGGUAUAGACCCGAAACCCGGUGAUCUAGCCAUGGGCAGGUUGAAGGUUGGGUAACACUAACUGGAGGACCGAACCGACUAAUGUUGAAAAAUUAGCGGAUGACUUGUGGCUGGGGGUGAAAGGCCAAUCAAACCGGGAGAUAGCUGGUUCUCCCCGAAAGCUAUUUAGGUAGCGCCUCGUGAAUUCAUCUCCGGGGGUAGAGCACUGUUUCGGCAAGGGGGUCAUCCCGACUUACCAACCCGAUGCAAACUGCGAAUACCGGAGAAUGUUAUCACGGGAGACACACGGCGGGUGCUAACGUCCGUCGUGAAGAGGGAAACAACCCAGACCGCCAGCUAAGGUCCCAAAGUCAUGGUUAAGUGGGAAACGAUGUGGGAAGGCCCAGACAGCCAGGAUGUUGGCUUAGAAGCAGCCAUCAUUUAAAGAAAGCGUAAUAGCUCACUGGUCGAGUCGGCCUGCGCGGAAGAUGUAACGGGGCUAAACCAUGCACCGAAGCUGCGGCAGCGACGUUUAUGCGUUGUUGGGUAGGGGAGCGUUCUGUAAGCCUGCGAAGGUGUACUGUGAGGUAUGCUGGAGGUAUCAGAAGUGCGAAUGCUGACAUAAGUAACGAUAAAGCGGGUGAAAAGCCCGCUCGCCGGAAGACCAAGGGUUCCUGUCCAACGUUAAUCGGGGCAGGGUGAGUCGACCCCUAAGGCGAGGCCGAAAGGCGUAGUCGAUGGGAAACAGGUUAAUAUUCCUGUACUUGGUGUUACUGCGAAGGGGGGACGGAGAAGGCUAUGUUGGCCGGGCGACGGUUGUCCCGGUUUAAGCGUGUAGGCUGGUUUUCCAGGCAAAUCCGGAAAAUCAAGGCUGAGGCGUGAUGACGAGGCACUACGGUGCUGAAGCAACAAAUGCCCUGCUUCCAGGAAAAGCCUCUAAGCAUCAGGUAACAUCAAAUCGUACCCCAAACCGACACAGGUGGUCAGGUAGAGAAUACCAAGGCGCUUGAGAGAACUCGGGUGAAGGAACUAGGCAAAAUGGUGCCGUAACUUCGGGAGAAGGCACGCUGAUAUGUAGGUGAAGUCCCUCGCGGAUGGAGCUGAAAUCAGUCGAAGAUACCAGCUGGCUGCAACUGUUUAUUAAAAACACAGCACUGUGCAAACACGAAAGUGGACGUAUACGGUGUGACGCCUGCCCGGUGCCGGAAGGUUAAUUGAUGGGGUUAGCGGUAACGCGAAGCUCUUGAUCGAAGCCCCGGUAAACGGCGGCCGUAACUAUAACGGUCCUAAGGUAGCGAAAUUCCUUGUCGGGUAAGUUCCGACCUGCACGAAUGGCGUAAUGAUGGCGGGCUGUCUCCACCCGAGACUCAGUGAAAUUGAACUCGCUGUGAAGAUGCAGUGUACCCGCGGCAAGACGGAAAGACCCCGUGAACCUUUACUAUAGCUUGACACUGAACAUUGAGCCUUGAUGUGUAGGAUAGGUGGGAGGCUUUGAAGUGUGGACGCCAGUCUGCAUGGAGCCGACCUUGAAAUACCACCCUUUAAUGUUUGAUGUUCUAACGUUGGCCCCUACCGGGGUUGCGGACAGUGUCUGGUGGGUAGUUUGACUGGGGCGGUCUCCUCCUAAAGAGUAACGGAGGAGCACGAAGGUUGGCUAAUCCUGGUCGGACAUCAGGAGGUUAGUGCAAUGGCAUAAGCCAGCUUGACUGCGAGCGUGACGGCGCGAGCAGGUGCGAAAGCAGGUCAUAGUGAUCCGGUGGUUCUGAAUGGAAGGGCCAUCGCUCAACGGAUAAAAGGUACUCCGGGGAUAACAGGCUGAUACCGCCCAAGAGUUCAUAUCGACGGCGGUGUUUGGCACCUCGAUGUCGGCUCAUCACAUCCUGGGGCUGAAGUAGGUCCCAAGGGUAUGGCUGUUCGCCAUUUAAAGUGGUACGCGAGCUGGGUUUAGAACGUCGUGAGACAGUUCGGUCCCUAUCUGCCGUGGGCGCUGGAGAACUGAGGGGGGCUGCUCCUAGUACGAGAGGACCGGAGUGGACGCAUCACUGGUGUUCGGGUUGUCAUGCCAAUGGCACUGCCCGGUAGCUAAAUGCGGAAGAGAUAAGUGCUGAAAGCAUCUAAGCACGAAACUUGCCCCGAGAUGAGUUCUCCCUGACUCUUUAAGGGUCCUGAAGGAACGUUGAAGACGACGACGUUGAUAGGCCGGGUGUGUAAGCGCAGCGAUGCGUUGAGCUAACCGGUACUAAUGAACCGUGAGGCUUAACCUUACAACGCCGAAG